GGGGACAAAUAAGUUUGGUAUGGAUAUCAGGACCAGCCUUCUCAUCCUCCUGUGUGUUUGUUGCCUGUUGACUCUGGAAAUUUGUAGAAGGAGGAGCUGGCAGACACACCAAAAUCUGAAAGAUAUGAGCAUGUUCUGGAGGCAUUAAAUGAUUACAAGACCAUGUUUAUGUCUGGGAAAGAAAUAAAGAAGAAGAAGCAUUUGUUUGGGUUGCGAAUUCGUGUUCCUCCUGUGCCACCAAAUGUGGCUUUCAAAGCAGAGAAAGAACCUGAAGGAACAUCUCAUGAAUUUAAAAUUAAAGGCAGAAAGGCAUCCAAACCUAUAUCUGAUUCAAGGGAAGUAAGCAAUGGCAUAGAAAAAAAAGGAAAGAAAAAAUCUGUAGGUCGUCCACCUGGCCCAUAUACAAGAAAAAUGAUUCAAAAAACUGCUGAGCCACUUUUGGAUAAGGAAUCAAUUUCAGAGAAUCCUACUUUGGAUUUACCUUGUUCUAUAGGGAGAACUGAGGGAACUGCACAUUCAUCCAAUACCUCAGAUGUGGAUUUCACGGGUGCUUCCAGUGCAAAAGAAACUACCUCGUCUAGCAUUUCCAGGCAUUAUGGGUAGAUAUUUUACAUUCUUAUUUUUUUUACUUUUUUUAUUCUAGAUUUCUUUUCUUUGUAAAGUGUUGAUUGAAUAAUUUUUUAGCAAUUGAAAGUGAUGCAAGUUGUGUCUAUCAGCUUUUUGAGAGGUAAUCCAUAUGUAGAUCCCAAUAGUUGUUAAUAUUCAUUUGGAAUAUUUUUGCUUUCUAGAGUACAAAUGUAUUUUUCAUGUUUGUAUUGAAAUCUGCUGUGUACACAGAGAAAAAGUAUACCAUUGUUUAGAAG
rnacentral:sRNA from 1 species